ensembl:lncRNA
UUAUUCAGUACACAGUUGUUCAGUCCUUCAGACAAGCAAAACCGGGCAUGUGAAUUUUAGCUAUUAGGAAGAUAGGAAUAGAAUAAUUCUCUGGGGUUCUAUUGUCUAUAUGUGUGUGACCUGCAACAGCUUCCCCAGUUCAGUCUCAAAAGUUUCAAUGAGCCAAGAUGCUGCCAUUUGUAAAAGAAGUGGUGAAUGGUGGUUCACAAAUUAACUUGCUAAACCUUGCUCCAUGCUGUGACCUUUGCGUUUAUAAAACAAUAGUUCAGUGACUGGUAAGGGACCACAGGUGAUGACUUUGAUGGCUUGUCAUAAGCAUGAACCAUGGAAUACAGAUAGAGGUUCAGAUACUGCUUUUCUCCCUGUCCCUGCCUUUCUAGAUGUAAAGAGCUUCUUUGGAAAGACAGCUUGAGCCAUAAUCCGCACGGCUGAAUUAAUCUUUUCCUCAAUUCAGAGUUCAUUUUGUCAUUUCUGGUUUCAAACUAUUUUUUCACUGCUACAUUUGUAUCUUAUUUUUCAUUUAAAAAUCCCCAUAGUUAAUUUCUUUCUUUAUUGUCCUAGACGUUGCUUUGUUGGUAAUAUAAGUUAAGUUAUGUGCUGAACACCUACACAAUAUGCUCUCUUGAACUGCUGUCUGUCCCUAAAAGGUUACAUCUCCCAUUUGCCUUUGCAAUAGAAUAUACACAGAGAUAGUAAUGAAUUACUUCAGUUUCAUGCACCAUCAGCCUUAAGACCUUCAACCCACACACACAGACACACGCAUUCGUACACUUAAAAUGAUUUGGACACUGCUAUCAACAUGUGGGGUCAAAAUUACCAUUAAAUUGGAAAGUUCUUUCAGCUGUGUUUAGGAAGAAACAACAAUAAUGAAAAAUAUCAUUCUUGGCCAAGUCACUUAUGGAAGAAGCAAAUUCCCCUCUGGCAUUAGUUGAAUGAAAUCCUAAGGAUGGGGUUGCAUUUGGCCCCAGAUUGUUCCUUCUAAUCAGGUCGUUAAUCGUCGUAUGUACCAAUGAGUGUUGAUUUGAUCCUCCUGUGUAAAAAUACAAAAACAUCCCUUGGUUUACAAAGCUAUUAAUUUGGGACUGAAGCUUCACAGCAAUGGAAUUAGUAUGUAGGGCACCUCGAUCUUUUUCCUAGAUAAGAUGCAAAAGGGAGGGUCAUUAUCGGUAACCCCAUAGAGAUAAUAGUGUCAAUAGAGGUCCUACACUUGAAAGGAAUAAAAAUACCAGUGCUAGCAAGCAAACAUUUUAGUUUCUUAAGUCUUUCUUUUGCCUUCUUUUCAAAAGCUUUUAAAUGCAAAAAUUACUUUUCUUCAAAAAUAAAAGUAAACAUCUGAAGAUCUAAUUUCCCAAUAGUUUCCUCUGCAUUUAUAUACUAUGUAGUGUUUAGGCAAAACCUAUGUUAUAAGUUUAUUAAUAUUAUGUAAGUGUUGUUCUUGUAUUUAUGUAUAGUGUAUGUAUUGUAAAUAUACUCAGAGCUUUUUUUCCUCUUACUGUAAAAUGGUGAUUUUUUUGCCCUAUGAUAAUGUAAAGGGAGCCCCCUAAUGAAAUUCUGUCAGAGGAUGAUUAUUCCACUCUAUUCUCAAAGAUUUAAAUGAACAAGUGUUAUCGUUUUUAAUGGUGUCUCAGACAUAUUUUGUUGGUGCAUUGCUUUUCUGUAUUCAACUUUCCUAUGAAUUGAGCUGUGAAUUGAAAUAGAGUUUAAACCUUUAAAUGUAUGCAUUUGUAUAAUUAUCUGAAUGGAGGCAUGAAGGUUAAAUAAAGCAUUUUGUAUGGAACAAA